GCGAACGGGUGAGUAAUACAUAAGCAACCUGCCCACGAAGACUGGGAUAAUCCUUGGAAACGAGGACUAAUACCGGGAUAGGUUACGAAUUCGCAUGAAUUUGUAAUUAAAGGUUAGAAACACUGGUGGAUGGGCUUAUGGUGCAUUAGCUAGUUGGUGAGGUAACGGCCCACCAAGGCGAUGAUGCAUAGCCGGGCUGAGAGGCUGAACGGCCACAUUGGGACUGAGACACGGCCCAGACUCCUACGGGAGGCAGCAGUAGGGAAUUUUCGGCAAUGGGGGAAACCCUGACCGAGCAACGCCGCGUGAGUGAUGAAGGUCUUCGGAUUGUAAAGCUCUGUUGUAAGGGAAGAAUGAAUUGGAUAGAAUCCGAUUGUGACGGUACCUUACCAGAAAGCUACGGCUAACUACGUGCCAGCAGCCGCGGUAAUACGUAGGUAGCGAGCGUUAUCCGGAAUUAUUGGGCGUAAAGGGUGCGUAGGCGGCUUGUUAAGUUUAAGGUGAAAGAAUGGGGCUCAACCCCAUAAAGCCUUAGAUACUGGCAAGCUAGAGUACUGGAGAGGGUAGUGGAAUUCCAUGUGUAGCGGUAAAAUGCGUAGAUAUAUGGAGGAACACCGGUGGCGAAGGCGGCUACCUAGACAGAGACUGACGCUGAGGCACGAAAGCGUGGGGAGCAAAUAGGAUUAGAUACCCUAGUAGUCCACGCCGUAAACGAUGAAUGCUAGAUAUCGGGGCAACUCGGUGUCGAAACUAACGCGAUAAGCAUUCCGCCUGUGGAGUAUGCACGCAAGUGUGAAACAUAAAGGAAUUGACGGGGGCCCGCACAAGCGGUGGAGUAUGUGGUUUAAUUCGACGCAACGCGAAGAACCUUACCAGGCCUUGACAUCCCUGCAAAACUCUAGAGAUAGAGCAGAG
rnacentral:rRNA from 1 species